CCUACGGGAGGCAGCAGUGGGGAAUCUUGCGCAAUGGGCGAAAGCCUGACGCAGCCAUGCCGCGUGAAUGAUGAAGGUCUUAGGAUUGUAAAAUUCUUUCACCGGGGACGAUAAUGACGGUACCCGGAGAAGAAGCCCCGGCUAACUUCGUGCCAGCAGCCGCGGUAAUACGAAGGGGGCUAGCGUUGCUCGGAAUUACUGGGCGUAAAGGGAGCGUAGGCGGAUAGUUUAGUCAGAGGUGAAAGCCCAGGGCUCAACCUUGGAAUUGCCUUUGAUACUGGCUAUCUUGAGUAUGGGAGAGGUAUGCGGAACUCCGAGUGUAGAGGUGAAAUUCGUAGAUAUUCGGAAGAACACCAGUGGCGAAGGCGGCAUACUGGCCCAUUACUGACGCUGAGGCUCGAAAGCGUGGGGAGCAAACAGGAUUAGAUACCCUGGUAGUCCACGCCGUAAACGAUGAGUGCUAGUUGUCGGCAUGCAUGCAUGUCGGUGACGCAGCUACGACAUUAAGACACCUCCGCCGUCGGGGAGGUACGGUCGGCGAAGAAGUUAAAACUAACGAAAGGAAAGUUAGACGGCGUGAGACGUGCCGACGGACGACGACGAGGGGAGGUUAGG
rnacentral:rRNA from 1 species